AAUGCAAGUGAUGAUAAACAGACAGGGACAUCAGAAACUCCUUCGGGAGUAUGAAUAUGAUGACUUAAGUCUAAAUGGGAAUCUCUCUGAUGCUUA